GAUUCAAUGGAUUUUUAGGAGAGCAAAGACUAUGUUCGUUGGCUGGCGAAAGGGGGGCGGGGGGGUAUUGGUAGUGAUGCUGGACCAGUUCGGUGGAAGCUCCCUCCUCCAGGUUCGUUCAAGUUGAACAUGGAUGGCUCUUUUCAUGAGUCACCGGCGUACGGGCUUUGGGGGGCUUGUGAGGGACUCCACGGGUGGUUGGGUGACGGGGUUCAUGGCUGCAAAGCUGUUGACGUUGAAGAUUGGCUUGCAAUUGCUGUGAGUUUGUGGUUUGCGGGUGGGUGUGUGUGAGGUUGAUUGCUUGGAAAUCAUUGAGAGUUUGCAAGGAAAUUGAGUUGACUUCCAUGAACUUGCAACUGAGUUGUGGAAGUGAGGAGUUUGCUGCAUAAGGAGUGGGAUGUACAGCUCUUGCAUAUUCCAAGGAGUGCUAAUUAUGCUGUGAAUUGUCUUGCCGGUUUAGGAGUCAUUUGUCAAUGUGCGCUGCUCCGCCUUGAGGUUCCUCUUGUGGAAGUUAAUCUCAUCUUGGCUAAGGAUCUGUUAGCUUUUUAGUUUUUCUUUUCUUUUAUUUAUUUUCCGAUGUACCAAAAAAGAAAUAGAAAAUAGAAUUUAAAAAUAGUCAGAAGAGAAAAUAAGAUAAGAUUGAUUAAAAAAUAGAUAAGAUUAUUGAAUAAAAAAUAUUAAAAUACCAUAAAGGUUAUAGAUAGCUACAAAAAACAAAAGCAACCUAUCGCAAUUAUUUAACUUAUGAUGUUGUCAUCUUUUGUAUCAGGACGCUGAGGAGGCUUUAACCUCGCUCCUGUUAUUUAACGUUGUUUCGCUUCUAGGGCCAUGCCCCUCCAUGUUAAAAAAAAACUUAAAAUUUGUAAUAAUUAAAGUUUAAUUUUUAUUAUUUAAUAAUAUAUAAAUGAUACUUAAACAAAUUAAUCAUUAUGAGCUACACACAUGACACAUACACACCACCAAUGCUAAAACCCAGUAGACGAAUAUAACCUAAAUCCUUUAUUCUCUUAUUUUGUACAGCAUAAAGCAAAAAAGGUCAAGAGCAGCGGAGGAGGUAAUUGAAAGCAUAGACAACUUACUGGAGAUCCUUAUUCGUCUCCCGUUGAAACUCCUUCUACGAUUAGUGUGUCUUGAAGCAAUGGUUGACACUCAUCUCUGACCAACAAUUUCGUGACCCUCACUCUCUUCACCAACACCGACGCUACCCCACUUCCUAUAUUUUCCCCAAAGAGGUGAAUGAUGGCCCAUCACAAAUCAUUUCCUUCACCACCACCACAACUCCAACCCUCAAUGUUUAUUAUCUUGAUUUCUCCAAUCGAUCCAAAGUUAUAGUCAUUGUUCGUUCGUGCAACAACCUUCUUCUCUGUCGUGAUUAUAACUUCAACUACUUCAUUUGCAACUCAAUAACCGAAGACUUCAUCACUCUCACUUUGCACGGGCACCCAUUCAGAUUAUGCCAGAUAUUUUUGCCUCUAAACCAUUUGGACUUGAACUGGAUGCUGCUAAUGGGGUUUAUUGCAACGGUGCCAUUCAUUGGUGCAACAAAGGUGAUUUUUCCGUGUGUUUUGAUGUUGUUAAUCAGAGCCUUAAAAAUUUCUCAAUGCCCAUGUCUAAUUCAGAAUGGUAUGGAUGAUUCAUCCAUUGUUUUGGGGAGUCGAGGGGUCGUUUGCAUAUGAUGGUUGACAAUAGAGGUGAGUUCUUAAUGUAUGAUAUUUAUGAGUUGAAAGAAGAUUACACUGGAUGGUUAUUGAGACACCGUGUUGACCUCCUUAAUCCCCUGCGAGUUGCAUAUCCAAUUGACUGGUUAUUGAGACACCGUGUUGGCUUUCACAUUUCUAGCACAGUAAAAGGCGAUAAAUUAUCAAUGUUGGUGUUGAUUAUUGUUGUUGAAGGUAAACAUAAACUAGAAGUACUUCUCUAUGAUCUUGUGGAUAAAAACUUCAACAAAGUUAUGUAAUCCGGAAAGGUCUUCAGUACGUAUUUUCAAAAUAUUGCACUUGUAGAAGCUGCUGAUAAAUGAUAAGAUUUGCUCAUAAAAUGCAAGGCAUUCUUUGUGUUUUUCA